UACGUAGGCAGCAAGCGUUGUUCGGAGUUACUGGGCGUAAAGGGUGUGUAGGCGGUUGUUUAAGUUUGGUGUGAAAUCUCCCGGCUCAACUGGGAGGGUGCGCCGAAUACUGAAUGACUAGAGUGUGGGAGAGGUGAGUGGAAUUCCUGGUGUAGCGGUGAAAUGCGUAGAUAUCAGGAGGAACACCGGUGGUGUAGACGGCUCACUGGACCAUAACUGACGCUGAGACACGAAAGCGUGGGUGGCAAACAGG
rnacentral:rRNA from 1 species